UGGGGAAUUUUGGACAAUGGGCGAAAGCCUGAUCCAGCAAUGCCGCGUGUGUGAAGAAGGCCUUCGGGUUGUAAAGCACUUUUGUCCGGAAAGAAAUCCUUGGCUCUAAUACAGUCGGGGGAUGACGGUACCGGAAGAAUAAGCACCGGCUAACUACGUGCCAGCAGCCGCGGUAAUACGUAGGGUGCAAGCGUUAAUCGGAAUUACUGGGCGUAAAGCGUGCGCAGGCGGUUUGCUAAGACCGAUGUGAAAAUCCCCGGGCGUCAACCUAGGGAACUGGCAUUGGUGACUGGCAGGCUAGAGUAUGGCAGAGGGGUAGGUAAUAUCCACGUGUAGCAGUGAAAUGCGUAGAGAUGUGGAGGAAUACCGAUGGCGAAGGCAGCCCCUGGCAGUCAACUGACGCUCAUGCACGAAAAGCGUGGGGAGCAAAACAGGAUUAAUACCCUGGUAGUCCACGCCCUAAAACGAUGUCAACUAGUUGUUGGGGAUUCAUUUCCUUAGUAACGUAGCUAACGCGUGAAGUUGACCGCCU
rnacentral:rRNA from 1 species